GACGAACGCUGGCGGCGCGCUUAACACAUGCAAGUCGAACGGAAAGGCCUGCUUUCCCUUGUGGAUUGCGGGUACUCGAGUGGCGAACGGGUGAGUAACACGUGAGUGAUCUGCCCCCAACUUGGGUAUAAGCCUGGGAAACUGGGUCUAAUUCCCGAUAGGACUGCAGGGUGGUGCCUGUGGUGGAAAACGAUUUUCUAGUGGUUGGGGAUGAGCUCGCGGCCUAUCAGCUUGUUGGUGGGGUAAUGGCCUACCAAGGCGGCGACGGGUAGCCGGCCUGAGAGGGUGGACGGCCACAUUGGGACUGAGAUACGGCCCAGACGCCUACGGGAGGCAGCAGUGGGGAAUAUUGCACAAUGGGCGGAAGCCUGAUGCAGCGACGCCGCGUGGGGGAUGACGGCCUUCGGGUUGUAAACUCCUUUCGACCGCGAGGAAGCCACCUGGUUGGAAGGGUGGUGACGGUAGUGGUAGAAGAAGCACCGGCUAACUACGUG
rnacentral:rRNA from 1 species